ACUAUUUUGUCAGAUUAUUGUAAUAAAUUUAGAAUUUAUUUAAGUAUAAUUAUUUAUACAUAUAGUA
rnacentral:tRNA from 1 species